rnacentral:lncRNA from 1 species
GGUUGAUACCAUUCCAUUGACGAUAUUCCAGCCAUUAAUAUGAGCCGUCCUCUCAGCAGCCCCCACUGCCUAGUUUAUAAAGGGAAAAACUUUAUUAAGCUACUUCGAUGUUGAAGAGACUUUCGUAGCAGGUUAGGAGACUGACGUUAACGUUAGGAAAAUUAUAAACUAAAACGCUUUCCUAACCUGCUAAGAAAAUCACUAUCGAAGUGGUUAAGUGUCCCUAGUUUCUAAGGUAACAUGAUGGAGAAAAGCCCUCAAGUUUACGACCUGUUAAAGUUCACGCCGACACAACAACUGACUAAGGCGACAAUUGCAAAUAAGUUUAAAACUUAGGUUACAUUUGAGCUGUCAGGCAGGUGAAUAUAUAUAUUUUUUGACGAUAAUCUUGGUCCAAUGAAGGCAUCCCGGUGUUGUGGAGAAGGUGGCCACGUGACGGAGCCAGGCUGCAAUACAGCUGUCGGUCGUUUAAUACACUGCGCCGGAGAAGCAAGCGGGGUAGAAAGACUCGACGAGAGAAGAAUAAAAUCUAUUCCGAACAAAUAUUAUACUCACUCGUUGCGACACAACAGACCAUGGACGGUUAUGCGCUGACAGAAGAUGAGCUGUUUUCCUCCUGCCUCCCGAAUCUCACCUGGGAGAAUUCCUACGAGCAGUUUGGAGAGACCUGGCUCUGCGGUAGUUUCUCCAGGCCUGGUUGUGAGGCAGCAACAAAUACGGUCCUCAGGCACCAAGGUACAUCAAGGCAUGCUGGUACUGCCAACCCUGCAAACCUGACAGCACAGCCAGAGAACAAUUCCAGAGUAGAAACAAGACCGGGGCUAUUAGUCCUGGUGUCAGACUGUAUUUUCACCCCCCACCAACUCAAUUUGUAGCCGUCUAAAAUAUUGACUAGGGGAUGUCAGUUGAUUCGGCCUGUCAUCGGCAGUGAUUGUUGGGGAAAACAAUAUUUGCUGCAGCAUCCCGUUUCCUUCCAUCCCGUCCCGCCACCGCCGCUGGCAAAAGACACUACCUCCGCCAGCUGUGUCGAACACUCCCUAUCUAUCACUUUAGCCUCAGCCUCCCUCCCAUCUCACCAGCCUCCCCUUCUCCAAAUAAUCUUCUGAUAAGAAAUAACACCACCAAAGCUUAGUUGUAGCCGUUGUACAUGAUAUUUCUUCCUCAAGUCUCUCUCUCUCUCAUAAAAGCUAGUCGGCUGUAAUGCUUAAUGAAAGUCAUUUGCUCUCCACAUGCAUUGUGGUAAUGUAAAAUACACCUUUAGGGACAUUUGGUCUUUUCUGUAGUAAUAAAGUAGCUCAUUCUUAAAGGGAAUGUUUGAUAAUUGGAAGUGGG